CCUGAAUUUAAUUUCUGCUGUAAAGUCUUGUUUUUGUGACAACCUUGUGACGUGGUUCUGUACUUAUACAUCCCGUCAUUGUGUUAAGGUAAAUUUUGUAUUCUUUUUUUUUUAAUUUUGGCUACUAUUUGUCUUUCAAUAUGCCAUAUUGUGCUUCUUGCUUUUAAAUGUGAAAUUCAAUUGAGUUAGAUGAUAAAAGGUUAACUGCCGUA
rnacentral:lncRNA from 1 species